rnacentral:rRNA from 1 species
GACGAACGCUGGCGGCGUGCUUAACACAUGCUUGUCGAACGGAAAGGCCCUGCUUUUGUGGGGUGCUCGAGUGGCGAACGGGUGAGUAACACGUGAGUAACCUGCCCUUGACUUUGGGAUAACCUCAGGAAACUGGGGCUAAUACCGGAUAGGAGCUCCUGCUGCAUGGUGGGGGUUGGAAAGUUUCGGCGGUUGGGGAUGGACUCGCGGCUUAUCAGCUUGUUGGUGGGGUAGUGGCUUACCAAGGCUUUGACGGGUAGCCGGCCUGAGAGGGUGACCGGCCACAUUGGGACUGAGAUACGGCCCAGACUCCUACGGGAGGCAGCGGUGGGGAAUAUUGCACAAUGGGCGGAAGCCUGAUGCAGCAACGCCGCGUGCGGGAUGACGGCCUUCGGGUUGUAAACCGCCUUCGCCUGUGACGAAGCGUGAGUGACGGUAAUGGGUAAAGAAGCACCGGCUAACUACGUGCCAGCAGCCGCGGUGAUACGUAGGGUGCGAGCGUUGUCCGGAUUUAUUGGGCGUAAAGGGCUCGUAGGUGGUUGAUCGCGUCGGAAGUGUAAUCUUGGGGCUUAACCCUGAGCGUGCUUUCGAUACGGGCUGACUUGAGGAAGGUAGGGGAGAAUGGAAUUCCUGGUGGAGCGGUGGAAUGCGCAGAUAUCAGGAGGAACACCAGUGGCGAAGGCGGUUCUCUGGGCCUUUCCUGACGCUGAGGAGCGAAAGCGUGGGGAGCGAACAGGCUUAGAUACCCUGGUAGUCCACGCUGUAAACGGUGGGUACUAGGUGUGGGGUCCAUUCCACGGGUUCCGUGCCGUAGCUAACGCUUUAAGUACCCCGCCUGGGGAGUACGGCCGCAAGGCUAAAACUCAAAGGAAUUGACGGGGCCCCGCACAAGCGGCGGAGCAUGCGGAUUAAUUCGAUGCAACGCGUAGAACCUUACCUGGGUUUGACAUGGAUCGGGAGUGCUCAGAGAUGGGUGUGCCUCUUUUGGGGUCGGUUCACAGGUGGUGCAUGCCUGUCGUCAGCUCGUGUCGUGAGAUGUUGGGUUAAGUCCCGCAACGAGCGCAACCCUUGUUCACUGUUGCCAGCACGUUAUGGUGGGGACUCAGUGGAGACCGCCGGGGUCAACUCGGAGGAAGGUGGGGAUGACGUCAAGUUCUCAUGCCCCUUAUGUCCAGGGCUUCACGCAUGCUACAAUGGCUGGUACAGAGAGUGGCGAGCCUGUGAGGGUGAGCGAAUCUCGGAAAGCCGGUCUCAGUUCGGAUUGGGGUCUGCAACUCGACCUCAUGAAGUCGGAGUCGCUAGUAAUCGCAGAUCAGCAACGCUGCGGUGAAUACGUUCCCGGGGCU